GCAAACUUGGUCAUUUAGAGGAAGUAAAAGUCGUAACAAGGUUUCCGUAGGUGAACCUGCGGAAGGAUCAUUCAUAAUAGAGUUAUUUAUGGCACUCUAAUAAAAAAUCCAUAUCCACCUUGUGUGAAAUGUUAAAUUCCUUGUCCAUCAUUGGUCAAGGGUUUUUUUAAUAUCAACUCAUUUUUUUUUUUUUUUUUGUCUGAAAAAUCGUUAUGAAUUUACUUAAUUCAAAACACAACUUUCAACAACGGAUCUCUUGGCUCUCGCAUCGAUGAAGAACGCAGC
rnacentral:misc_RNA from 1 species